rnacentral:rRNA from 1 species
CACGUAGGGGGCAAGCGUUGUCCGGAUUCAUUGGGCGUAAAGAGCUCGUAGGCGGUUCGAUAAGUCGGGUGUGAAACCUCCAGGCUCAACCUGGAGACGCCACCCGAUACUGUCGUGACUAGAGUCCAGUAGGGGAGCGUGGAAUUCCUGGUGUAGCGGUGAAAUGCGCAGAUAUCAGGAGGAGCACCAGCGGCGAAGGCGGCGCUCUGGGCUGGAACUGACGCUGAGGAGCGAAAGCGUGGGGAGCGAACAGG